rnacentral:rRNA from 1 species
CCUACGGGUGGCAGCAGUGAGGAAUAUUGCACAAUGGGGGAAACCCUGAUGCAGCGAAGCCGCGUGAGUGAAGAAGUAAUUCUUGAUGUAAAGCUCUAUUAGCAAGGGAGAAAAUGACGGUACCUGAGUAAGAAUCCCCGGCUAACUACGUGCCAGCAGCCGCGGUACUACGGAGGGGGCAAGCGUUAUCCGGAUUUACUGGGUGUAAGGGGGGCGUAGACGGUCUUGCAAGUCUGGAGUGAAAGGCGGGGGCUCAACCCGCGGACUGCUCUGGAAACUGUACGGCUGGAGUGCAUGAGAGGUAAGUGGAAUUCCUGGUGUAGCGGUGAAAUGCGUAGAUAUUAGGAGGAACACCAGUGGCGAAGGCGGCUUACUGGACUGUAACUGACGUUGAGGCUCGAAAGCGUGGGGAGCAAACAGGAUUAGAUACCCCUGUAGUC